rnacentral:rRNA from 1 species
AUUGAACGCUGGCGGAAUGCUUUACACAUGCAAGUCGAACGGUAACAGGUCUUCGGAUGCUGACGAGUGGCGAACGGGUGAGUAAUAUAUCGGAACGUGCCCAGUCGUGGGGGAUAACGUAGCGAAAGUUACGCUAAUACCGCAUACGAUCUAAGGAUGAAAGUGGGGGAUCGCAAGACCUCAUGCUCGUGGAGCGGCCGAUAUCUGAUUAGCUAGUUGGUAGGGUAAAAGCCUACCAAGGCUACGAUCAGUAGCUGGUCUGAGAGGACGAUCAGCCACACUGGGACUGAGACACGGCCCAGACUCCUACGGGAGGCAGCAGUGGGGAAUUUUGGACAAUGGGCGAAAGCCUGAUCCAGCCAUUCCGCGUGAGUGAAGAAGGCC